rnacentral:lncRNA from 1 species
UUCGAAAUUUUAAUAACCCAUAAAAGUCCUAAUUAUGCCCUGUUUUAUAAUUUUUCACAAACAAUGAAUGAGUAAUAAAAAGUUAAUUUAAGAAAGUCCUAAGAGAAAAAGUACUAAUUGUGGUGUUUCUCUUUCACUAUUAAAAUUUACUAAUAAACAGACAUAAUUAAAUAUGAAUUUGCUUAACAUUAAAUUUAGUUGCAAUUGUUCAAAAAACUAAAAAAUUUACAACUUCUUUUUCAACUUUGAGUUGUUCAUAGUCUUUUGUUGCAUCUAGUUCUACAUCAUCUUUCUUCAAAAUGCAUAAGGAUGGUUACAAGUCACGUUCUAGAUGCUCAACCUGCAAAAAUAAUUGAGAGGUUACAUAUAAUUAAUAUUGACAAAUAGUAAAAUAAAAAAAACAACUCUAUAAAUGAAAUGUGUAUAUAUCAAUUUUUUAAAUUUCCAAGAUAUAUUUCUUCCACUGCAAUAAAUUUUAACAUGUUGGAAGAACUAAACAAACCCUAAUAAUUUUGUUACACCAAAUUUCUAAAUAUUCCUUGAACUCUUGUUAUGUGUUUAAGAAAGCAAUCAAUAAACCACUUUCUAGUGUUUUCCCAAAUGUAAUAUUUGAUUUUGUCUAACUUGGGUUGAAUGCAAUAAUUAAUUUUGUCGAACUCAUAUUAUCAUUCAUAUUGUAAUCAUGAGUGAAUGAUGACUUGCACCCAUGGUUAUCAAAAUAUGUUCUAAGUAUAUCUAACUUGGGUUGAAUGUAAUAAUUAAUUUUUUUCAACUGAUGUUAUCAUUCAUGUUGUAACCAUGAAUGGAUGAUGACUUCCACCUAUGAUUAUCAAAAUACGCUAUCAACAUAUUGGGUCUUGCCAUAAGUCCAAGUAGGUCUUAAAUUUAAAGCAUGUAUACACUUAAUCAUUUUCAUAGACUAACUUAUUAUGGAUAGAAUUAAACCAAUUAAAUAACUAGGUUAGGUGGUUUCCCUUCAUCAAUGAAGAUGGUAUAUCCAUGUGGUUGCCUUCUUCCCUAAUUAGGCAUUACUAUGAAUUACAAUUAGCUAAAUGACCCAUUGUUCAUCAACUAUCUCCAUUAUAUAAUGGUCUUUUAGCCCUUCUACCCAAUUGGCCUUUACAAGUCAUCAAUUAUAUGUAUAAACAAAUGUCUGUAACUCUUAAAAAACUCAAAAAAAAGAAAAGUCUUGAUCUUAGUGACUAUUUUGGUAUGAUUUAUAUCUUAUAUAUGAAACUUCAACCAUUAACAUCUUUUCAUCCUUCUUAUAGGUCUUACAAGACACUGGAUGUUUUGCAAAGGAAGUAAGUAAGGAAUUAAAAGGAAAAAACUAUAAGUCUGAAAUUUUUUGAAAUUAUAGGUUAAAAUAUCUAUGUUCUUCCUACUGUUAAUAUCUAUUAUACAUGAAAUUUACAAUUUAUUGGUUCUAUCUAUUUAACCAAUUAAUGUAGUUGGUAUGAAGUAUAAUGUCAAGAGAAGAGCUAGCUUGCAUGGGUACAUUAACAUCUAAUCAUGUGAGGAUAUCUAUUAUCCUAAGUAUACAUCUUAAAUAUGAAACUUACAUGAAAUGAUUUUGUAAACAUGGAAUUUAUUCAUAAAACUAACAAUAACCUAAGCAUCUUACCUCAAUAUUCUUUUAUGAAAAUUUUCAACUAUUCCAGGGAGUCCUUCAUGUCAUUGAACAUGUUUAGGUCUGGAUAAGCAAGAGUAGUAGUGACGUACUUAAGAG